AGCAGCCGCGGUAAUUCCAGCUCCAAUAGCGUAUAUUAAAGUUGCUGCAGUUAAAAAGCUCGUAGUUGAAUUUCGGGACCAUCAUGUCGGUCGUGCCUCGGUACGUACUGGCAUUGUUGGUUUCUCCCUUCUGACGAACCAUGAUGUCAUUUAUUUGGUGUUGUGGGGAAUCAGGACUGUUACUUUGAAAAAUUAGAGUGUUUAAAGCAGGCUCACGCUUGAAUACAUUAGCAUGGAAUAAUGAAAUAGGACGUUUGAUUCUAUUUUGUUGGUUUCUAGGAUCGGCGUAAUGAUUAAUAGGGAUAGUUGGGGGCAUUAGUAUUCAAUUGUCAGAGGUGAAAUUCUUGGAUUUAUUGAAGACUAACUACUGCGAAAGCAUUUGCCAAGGAUGUUUUCAUUAAUCAAGAACGAAAGUUAGGGGAUCGAAGACGAUCAGAUACCGUCGUAGUCUUAACCAUAAACUAUGCCGACUAGGGAUCGGGAUGAUGUUAAUUUUAAUGACUCAUUCGGCGCCUUAAC
rnacentral:rRNA from 1 species